UUACUCUGGGGUCAGUAAGGGAGAAAGAAAUGAGGUGGAUUUCAGAGGACCUCCUUCAACCAUUGGAAAAAAGGAAAAAGUACACCUCUGUAACCAUGCCACAUCUAUCCUAACAGAUUCCAGGAACACUGACUCUACUCGUGUGCAUCUAAUCCAUUUGUGGACCCCAGUUCCUGUUACCAAAAGUGGGGGGAUGUGUCAAGAAGUGUAUAGGUGUGCCAUAUAAAAUGCAUUUGCCACAGAAGAGGCAGCUGACUUUGUCUCAGUCAUUCAAGUUCUUGUUAGCGCUAACAAGCCAGACUGCCCUAUGGAGUAGGAAUACACCCGGAAGCAAACAGGUUCCUACCUCUGGGUGAGGUACAAGAUCACUGAGAAAACUCCAUUCCUGAGACCAGAGAUAACAGGGUCUGGCUGAGCUUGAGGCUGAAGCAGGAAUACAGAAAGCUCUUCCAGCCUCUCACUGCCCUCCCCACCCCCCAGCAAGCACCAAAUAACAAGUACCAGGUAACAAGCAACGGAAGUGUAUGGUGGGGGGAAGGUGCAAGAGCAAGGAGAGACCACUUGUGAGGAACAAACUAAUAGAGAAGACUUAAGGUAGAAGCAGAACAUUGAGAAAAAGUCUCUAGUAAACCAAUUAUCACCCUAACCACAAGGUAAAUCCAGUGAAAUUUAAAACCAGUGGUAAAUGUAGCAACAACAAAAGAAAAACCCACCUCAAUUCCUAACUAUAUUGACUCAACCCUCUACAGGCCAGCAGAAGAGGUGUCAUAUCCAGUAAUAAAUACUGUAAUAAAUACUAUGUAUCUCAAUCUCUACUGUUCUACACAUUAUAAGCAGCAAGAUAUCAGUAAGUAC